rnacentral:lncRNA from 10 species
CCUCUGCCUUAUGAGGACACGCAUUUCUCUCCUCCAAAACAUGCAGCCCUUACCAGUCAACUGAACCUACUGGCAACUUGAUUUUGAACUCCCCAGCCUCUACAACUCAUUCAUACAUUCUGCUUUUGCUGCCUGAAACGACUCGUCUAUGUCCUGUGCUACUUGCUGCCUUCAUCGUUCUCACUGCUGAGUGCCAGCAGAGCACGCCCUAUGGAGAUUACUUGGACACAUCUGGCACCCUCUGGCACGCAGCUGGCUUGAGACUGGAUCUCACUACUUGCCUAGCUCUUGAACUCCUGGCCUCAAGCAAUCCUCCUGCCUCAACCUCCCAAAGUGCUGGGAUUACAGGAGUGAGCCACUAUGCCCCACAUGUAUUCUCCCAUUUGAGAAAACAAUGAACAAAUCAGUGAGAAGAAGCAAGCAGCUUAUAUUCUUUGAUAUUCUCUGCUAUUCUGGUUUUUGGGGAAAAUAUUUCAUAAUCAGUCCUCCAAAAUUGAAGUGAUGUGAAAGAAUUGGCAGAUAUUUAAAUAAAGGACCCAUAAGUAUAAAAUAAAUGGAAACUGUAGUAAUGAGGCUAUGAAAUAUAUAAGAUGGUUUAUUCAUAGGUAAUACAGACCUUCCAGAGAAAAGUUUAUACGCCUCACAGAAAGGACAGGGACUUUGAAAUUAACAAUGAACUUCUUUAGAAAUUCUGACUUUAAUAGUUAACAUUUGUAAGACUUGAAACAAGAUAUCUUGUUUAAUAAACUCCACAAACCUCAAUUUUUUUACAAGAUGGGGAAAAUAAUGGCUACCUUAGAUGAGUAUUGUGGGGAUUAAAGUAAAUAGAUAUAAAAUAUCUAAAAGAAUGCCUGGGGCAUUGUUAGUGUUGUAAUAACUUAGUUUCAUAAAGCUCCAGUAAAUAGUCAUGUACAUAUUAUUUUUUAGAAGUAUGAAGUUCAGAAAUAUUUGUGAUCCCUUUUCUUAUUUGCAGUCUUCUCAGUACUAAAUGGAAUGACUAAGGGUAUCUUUAAUUAUUAAACAACUCCUAACCUGAAAACAAAUGGAUUACAUUGGUGGCCGACUCACAGAGAAAGUUUAUGCAGAUAGAAUCUACAUGGCCAAUUCAAAAAAAGGACACAUUUUUAGAAACGAUAUCCAGGAUGUCACAAUACCUUGUCUACACUCAUCAAUUUUAUUGUCACCUUGCCACUAUUGAGCUUAGUGUUGACACUUCCCAGAGCCCAGAAGUUGCCCCUAAAAAUUAUGAAUUCCACACUGGGAAAGCAAGGUAAAGUAAUUCUUUUGUUGGGUUAUUGAUGCUUUGGAAGGGACAUAGAGAUAUGGAUGCAUACAUAGCUCAAAAUAAAAGAGAAUUUAUUCUGGAACAUGGCCAAGAUAAGAAUGUCACCUAAGUUCACCAGGCCAUCAUUUGAGAGUAGCUUCAGCAGAUUAAUACAUCAAAAAAGCCAAUAAAACAAAACAUUGAAAUGUAAUUAUUUAUUAAAUACUUGAAGGAAUUACAGUAGUUGAGUUGAAUCAUAUUUUUUUAAAAAGAUGAAGAAGAAAAACACAGCCUUUAAAAUUUCUCUUUCGAUCCCCUUUUUCUCUUUUCCUGAAAUUCUAAACCUCAAGGAAGUUGACUUAUAAGAUGUUCCUUUUUUAAAAUCAACCCACUCUCAAAAUUCC